rnacentral:pre_miRNA from 1 species
AAUAUACUCCCUCCGUCCGAAAAUACUUGUCAUCAAAAUUGAUAAAAAGGGAUGUAUCUAGAACUAAAAUACAUCUAGAUACAUCCCCUUUUAUCCAUUUUGAUAACAAGUAUUUCCGGACGAAGGGAGUAUAUG